rnacentral:rRNA from 1 species
UAGGGAAUCUUCCACAAUGGACGCAAGUCUGAUGGAGCAACGCCGCGUGAGUGAAGAAGGUUUUCGGACCGUAAAGCUCUGUUGUUGGUGAAGAAGGAUAGAGGUAGUAACUGGCCUUUAUUUGACGGUAAUCAACCAGAAAGUCACGGCUAACUACGUGCCAGCAGCCGCGGUAAUACGUAGGUGGCAAGCGUUGUCCGGAUUUAUUGGGCGUAAAGCGAGCGCAGGCGGAAGAAUAAGUCUGAUGUGAAAGCCCUCGGCUUAACCGAGGAAUUGCAUCGGAAACUGUUUUCUUGAGUGCAGAAGAGGAGAGUAGAACUCCAUGUGUAGCGGUGGAAUGCGUAGAUAUAUGGAAGAAUACCAGUGGCGAAGGCGGCUCUCUGGUCUGCAACUGACGCUGAGGCUCGAAAGCAUGGGUAGCGAACAGGGUUUAGAUACCCUGGUAGUCCAU